CACGUAGGGCGCAAGCGUUGUCCGGAAUUAUUGGGCGUAAAGAGCUCGUAGGCGGUCUGUUGCGUCCGCUGUGAAAACUCGGGGCUUAACCCCGAGCCUGCAGUGGAUACGGGCAGACUAGAGGUAGGUAGGGGAGAAUGGAAUUCCCGGUGUAGCGGUGAAAUGCGCAGAUAUCGGGAGGAACACCGGUGGCGAAGGCGGU
rnacentral:rRNA from 1 species